UUAACUGUCGCCUAUUGGCAAGUGUUUACAUUUUGGCCAGGAUGGUCUUGUGACUUCAAUGGGACAAAGUGAUCAAAUUAAAGGUGAAUUAUAAGGGUUCUCAUCGAUUUUUUCGCAGUCUUUUUGAUGGUAUGUUGCAGGACAUGACAUCAGAUUUUAAAAAGGUGAUGGACCUGACCUACCCCAUCACUUCUACGUUCUCUGGCGCUGACUUCAACUCCAGCAUUUACAGUGUUCAAGGGCAAGCAGAUUGGUGAGGACGAGACACCUUCACAGCACAGCUGGAGUUAGUCUUGGGACUAACUGGCAGAGAAAGUGAAUGUGAGCCUCUCUCACAGUGCUGUACAGAUGUGGCUGCCCUACGUGUGUUGUGUGCAUCAGUGAAGAGCAGUGACUACUGCGAGUACAUCAGACCGCCCACAAACCGCUACCGCACACUGGAGUUUGGCAAGUUCGACAAGAUCCUUGUGAGUCUCACUCCUUGUCUUCGACAUGGGGAGUUGGUCUGUCAUUCAGUGUCUUUUUUGCUUCCUCUUGCUCUCCCUCUUACUCUAGACCACACUUCUUCACACUUCAUCUAUCUUUCCUCCUCCUUAGUCAAAAGUGUGAAAAGGAUUUAAAGGAUUGCCGGAGAUUAGCUACAUUAGAUUCAGCCUUUGUUUGUGUGUGAGAAUGAUGUGUGUGUGCAGGAGGUGGGUUACCAGCAUGGCAACACUGUGUUCGAUGUGUGGAUUCACAGUGGAGUGGUGGAGAUCAUGCUGUAGGACCACCACCAGGAGGAGUCUCGUAACACACACAGCAACAACAAUGUGAGGGAGGGAGUAUCAGGGAGGGAGGGAGGGAGUAUCAGGGAGGGAGAGAGUAUCAGGGAGUGAG
rnacentral:lncRNA from 1 species